UCUCUGCCUUUGCUUUCCUUGCUUGUAUGAAACAGGAUUCUCUUGUGGCUCCUCUUUUCCUGAAACCUAGCAGGUGCUUAGCAGAGUCAGAGCCCUGCAGACAAUGUGAGCAGCAGGGCCUGGGUGAAUUUCCCCAUGUGCUGCGUAGGCAGGUUACAAGCUUCCAUGAGGCAAGGAGACCAUGCUUGAAGUCUUCCGGAAGUCAUAAACGCUGUGCUGUUGGCAUAAGCUGUGGAGUAUGAGUUUCCGCUGCCUCUGUAGCUCUCCAUUCACAGACUUCAUCCGCUCCACUUCCAGAUAGGAGGAGUCAAGCCGCUGGGUCAGGCUUUCCACUUCCACCUCCAAGGCCUCCUUUUCUCUGAGGGGAUGAGAAAACCAAAUUUAAUUCAACGUAUCAAAAGGUAGAAAGUCUUUGAACAGACAAAACAAAAUCUCUUUCAACAACUUGGGAAGAAGGAAUAGAAACAGAAUUGGAAGAAACUAAAAGUCAUCUUCUCAAACUUGCCCAAAGGCAGUGGCAGGACCAUUGUAUACAACCCAGACCCAAGUGUGCUGUAAAGAGAGAGCAGGCACCCCACAGCAAG